rnacentral:tRNA from 1 species
CGGGCUGUGGCGCAGUCUGGUAGCGCGCUCCGUUCGGGUCGGAGAGGUCGCCAGUUCAAAUCUGGCCAGCCCGA